rnacentral:piRNA from 1 species
UAGCUCAAAUGGUAGAGCGCUCGCU